rnacentral:rRNA from 1 species
UACGGGGGGAGCAAGCGUUGUUCGGAUUUACUGGGCGUAAAGGGCGCGUAGGCGGCCUGUUAAGUCGAACGUGAAAUCCCCGGGCUCAACCCGGGAACUGCGUCCGAUACUGGCAGGCUUGAAUCCGGGAGAGGGAUGCGGAAUUCCAGGUGUAGCGGUGAAAUGCGUAGAUAUCUGGAGGAACACCGGUGGCGAAGGCGGCAUCCUGGACCGAUACUGACGCUGAGGAGCGAAAGCCAGGGGAGCAAACGGG